rnacentral:lncRNA from 10 species
GAAAAUAGCUAGAGAUGACUUGGAUCAAGAGAAUCUUUUUGUUUAUCUUUUAGGGAUGAAAAAUUUACUGAAGUAUUUUAUGUUGAUGGAUGUGUUCACGGAGAGAAGGAAAAUUUGAUACAGCAGCACAGAUAGGUAAUGUCACUGGAGACAGAAUUGGAAAGGAACAUACUGCAUCCUGCAGUGGCACACCACCAGAAUUAUUGGCAUGUACAAGAUGGAAGGCUCAAUAUAUUCAUCCUUCACUGAACGAUUCAGCACCAUGUUGCUUUAAGCAAAAGAAGUUAGUACAUAGAAAUUUAGUCUUUGGACUUAAUCACUCCCUUAGAAUUUGAUAACAGAGGGCAUUAUGUUUAAAUAUGGGAUAUGAGG